rnacentral:hammerhead_ribozyme from 1 species
GCAUUGUUGAGGAGUCCCAUACUAGGACGAAACGGCCGUUCAGUAC